AUGAGUUUACAACUCUGGGAUUAUUCGGUGGGUCCUGGCUUGGAUUCAGGCAAGUGGACAACAAAAGAGGAAACAGACUGCACAUCGUGACUUUCCUCCAGCACUCAGAAUGACCUACACAAA